GGAGACCCGGCCUCCAGAAACUGACCUCUCCUCCAGCAGUGGAAGCUUAGUGGACCACAGCGUACCAGUGAAGCAGAACCCAGGGAUGUUCAAAGAGAUGAUGCAGAAAGUAAACCCAUUCAGGUCAAACACACAGGUGGCAGAUGGUGCUUGUGAGACCGACUCUGUGGUUCCAACUCGCAGCAUCGAGG